GUGCCAGCAGCCGCGGUAAUACAGAGGGUGCGAGCGUUACUCGGAAUCACUGGGCGUAAAGAGCAUGUAGGCGGAUUGAUAAGUUUGAAGUGAAAUCCUAUAGCUUAACUAUAGAACUGCUUUGAAAACUGUUAAUCUAGAAUGUGGGAGAGGUAGAUGGAAUUUCUGGUGUAGGGGUAAAAUCCGUAGAUAUCAGAAGGAAUACCGAUUGCGAAGGCGAUCUACUGGAACACUAUUGACGCUGAGAUGCGAAAGCGUGGGGAGCAAACAGGAUUAGAUACCCCGGUAGUCC
rnacentral:rRNA from 1 species